rnacentral:rRNA from 1 species
CUACGGGAGGCACCAGUCGAGAAUCAUCCGCAAUGGGCGAAAGCCUGACGGCGCAAUGCCGCGUGGGGGAUGAAGGCCCUCGGGUCGUAAACCCCUGUCAGGAGGGACGAAGAAGUGACGGUACCUCCAGAGGAAGCCACGGCUAACUACGUGCCAGCAGCCGCGGUAAUACGUAGGUGGCGAGCGUUAUUCGGAUUUACUGGGCGUAAAGGGUCCGCAGGGGGUUUGCCAAGUCUGGUGUGAAAUCUCACAGCUCAACGGUGAAACUGCGCUGGAUACUGGUGAACUAGAGUGCGCGAGGGGUGAGUGGAAUUCCUGGUGUAGCGGUGGAAUGCGUAGAUAUCAGGAAGAACACCAACGGCGAAGGCAGCUCACUGGCGCGCAACUGACCCUCAUGGACGAAAGCGUGGGUAGCAAACAGGAUUAGAUACCCGAGUAGUC